rnacentral:tRNA from 1 species
GGAAGGGAAACGCUCCCGGUGGGGCGGCUGGACUUCAAAUCCAGUAAGGGUCGUUGGACGGUCCUUCGUGGGUUCGACUCCCACUCUCUUCCGCCA